rnacentral:tRNA from 1 species
UCAGAGUGUAGUUCAGUUGGUAGAAUGCGUGGUUUGGGACUACGUGGUCGGAGGUUCAAGUCCUCCCACUCUGACCAG